CGGCGGUGGGAGAGCAGCGCGAGCACGGUCAGCAGCACCAGGAUGACCACGAGGAUGAGGGAGAGCGUCAGGAUGAGGGGGUCCAGGUCUAAGAGGCGGGGAGGAGGUCAGGGCGGUGGGCUUGCCCCGUGAUUCGCCCUGGCUCCUCCUACACCCCCGCCUGGGGCCUCACCGCUAGGCGUCAGCAGCGACACAGGCUCCGACCAGGCGCUCCAGAAGCCGCCGAAGCUCGGCUCAGCCAUACGCGCGCGGACGGCGAAGGUGUAGCGCGUCCGGCCCCGCAGGUUGCUCAGCACACACUCGAGCACUUACCUACUUCAUUGAUGUGGAUG
rnacentral:lncRNA from 10 species